AAGACCUUGCACUUUUGGAGCGGCCGAUGUCUGAUUAGCUAGUUGGUGGGGUAAUGGCCUACCAAAGCUUCGAUCAGUAGCUGGUCUGAGAGGACGGCCAGCCACACUGGGACUGAGACACGGCCCAGACUCCUACGGGAGGCAGCAGUGGGGAAUUUUGGACAAUGGGCGCAAGUCUGAUCCAGCCAUGCCGCGUGAGUGAAGAAGGCCUUCGGGUUGUAAAGCUCUUUCAGCCGGGAAGAAAAGGUUGCGAUUAAUAAUCGUAAUUUAUGACGGUACCGGAAGAAGAAGCACCGGCUAACUACGCGCCAGCAGCCGCGGUAAUACGUAGGGUGCGAGCGUUAAUCGGAAUUACUGGGCGUAAAGGGUGCGCAGGCGGUUUUGUAAGUCAGAUGUGAAAUCCCCGGGCUUAACCUGGGAACU
rnacentral:rRNA from 1 species